rnacentral:rRNA from 1 species
UUCUGGUUGAUCCCGCCAGACCUGACUGCUAUCGGAUUGAUACUAAGCCAUGCGAGUCGUUGUAGCAAUACAAGGCAUACGGCUCAGUAACGCGUAGUCAACCUAACCUAUGGACGGGAAUAACCUCGGGAAACUGAGAAUAAUGCCCGAUAGAACAUUAUGCCUGGAAUGGUUUAUGUUCCAAAUGAUUUAUCGCCAUAGGAUGGGACUGCGGCCUAUCAGUUUGUUGGUGAGGUAAUGGCCCACCAAGACUAUUACAGGUACGGGCUCUGAGAGGAGUAGCCCGGAGAUGGGUACUGAGACACGGACCCAGGCCCUAUGGGGCGCAGCAGGCGAGAAAACUUUGCAAUGUGCGAAAGCACGACAAGGUUAAUCCGAGUGAUUUCUGCUAAAGAGAUCUUUUGUUAGUCCUAGAAACACUAACGAAUAAGGGGUGGGCAAGUUCUGGUGUCAGCCGCCGCGGUAAAACCAGCACCUCAAGUGGUCAGGAUGAUUAUUGGGCCUAAAGCAUCCGUAGCCGGCUCUGUAAGUUUUCGGUUAAAUCUGUACGCUCAACGUACAGGCUGCCGGAAAUACUGCAGAACUAGGGAGUGGGAGAGGUAGACGGUACUCGGUAGGAAGUGGUAAAAUGCUUUGAUCUAUCGAUGACCACCUGUGGCGAAGGCGGUCUACCAGAACACGUCCGACGGUGAGGGAUGAAAGCUGGGGGAGCAAACCGGAUUAGAUACCCGGGUAGUCCCAGCUGUAAACUAUGCAAACUCAGUGAUGCAUUGGCUUGUGGCCAAUGCAGUGCUGCAGGGAAGCCGUUAAGUUUGCCGCCUGGGAAGUACGUACGCAAGUAUGAAACUUAAAGGAAUUGGCGGGGGAGCACCACAAGGGGUGAAGCCUGCGGUUCAAUUGGAUUCAACGCCGGG